rnacentral:rRNA from 1 species
UACGUAGGGUGCGAGCGUUAAUCGGAAUUAUUGGGCGUAAAGAGCUCGUAGGCGGUUUGUCGCGUCUGCCGUGAAAGUCCGGGGCUCAACUCCGGAUCUGCGGUGGGUACGGGCAGACUAGAGUGAUGUAGGGGAGACUGGAAUUCCUGGUGUAGCGGUGGAAUGCGCAGAUAUCAGGAGGAACACCGGUGGCGAAGGCGGGUCUCUGGGCAGUAACUGACGCUGAGGAGCGAAAGCGUGGGGAGCGAACAGG